rnacentral:misc_RNA from 2 species
AAGGAAAUUUUUAAAAUCAUCAUCUUCAGUUUUGAAAGACUUAAAUUAAUUUAAAAAAAUAAGUUUUUCUUUUUCAUUAAUUAUUCUUAUAGUAUUUAAUUUUUUAAGGGCCUAUAGCUCAGUUGGUUAGAGCACACGCCUGAUAAGCGUGAGGUCGGUGGUUCAAGUCCAUUUAGGCCCACCAGUCUAA